GAUGAACGCUGGCGGCGUGCCUAAUACAUGCCAGUCGAGCGAACAGACGAGGAGCUUGCUCCUCUGACGUUAGCGGCGGACGGGUGAGUAACACGUGGAUAACCUACCUAUAAGACUGGGAUAACUUCGGGAAACCGGGGCUAAUACCGGAUAAUAUAUUGAACCGCAUGGUUCAAUAGUGAAAGACGGUUUUGCUGUCACUUAUAGAUGGAUCCGCGCCGCAUUAGCUAGUUGGUAAGGUAACGGCUUACCAAGGCAACGAUGCGUAGCCGACCUGAGAGGGUGAUCGGCCACACUGGAACUGAGACACGGUCCAGACUCCUACGGGAGGCAGCAGUAGGGAAUCUUCCGCAAUGGGCGAAAGCCUGACGGAGCAACGCCGCGUGAGUGAUGAAGGUCUUCGGAUCGUAAAACUCUGUUAUUAGGGAAGAACAAAUGUGUAAGUAACUAUGCACGUCUUGACGGUACCUAAUCAGAAAGCCACGGCUAACUACGUG
rnacentral:rRNA from 1 species